UUUCUGAGAUCUUUUAUAAACUCUCAACUCUCUCUCUAAAACUCGCUUUCUCUCUCUCUAAAAUUCAAUUUCUCUCUCUCUCAAAUCCAGGAAUCCCAAACACCCGAUCAUGAAACCAUAUCUGAUUUUAAGAGCACACAUGAUGCGAUUAGGAGGCUACAACAGGAAGAAGAGGCGAUUACGAAGGCAAAGAAGCCGGUGAAGAAGAAGAUGUUGACGGUGGUUGUGGCCUGAAUAAAAAGAUGAUUGCUACAAGGAUUGGUUGGGUUUCGCCGGUUGUGAUAAUGUGAUGGUGUGGUUCAAGGAAGCGAGGACAAGGCGGCGGCUAGGGUUUCACCAGCAGCACUCUUUUGUUCAAUCUUGCAUCAAGAUUACAAAAAUCACUCAUCGGUUUGUUCUCGAAUUCCUGCACUCUUUUGUUCAAUCUUACAUCAAGAUUUUGUUUAACGGUGGUCUUGUGAUGGCUUAUUACAAGAACCAGACGUUUAUUCCCUUCUUCAGAAGCUUCAUUCAAGUUAGAUGUGAGAUCAGGGUUAGAUAUCUUUUUAUUAUUUACCAGCAACUUUAUAUUUUUCUUAAUGAUUUAUGAGUUUGUACAUUGCAUAUUGUGUGUAUGGCGCAAGAGAUACAACUACCGAUCAAAAAGUAGAACAACCGAAGGAGGCAAGAAGAUAUUUGCCAUAAGAGGGUAACUUACAUGAUGGAAACAUGGCUCCUAAGUAAAGCAGAAGGCAAGAAGAUAUUUGCCACAAGAAGAUAUUUGCCACAAGAGGGUAAUGGUUAAUACAACUGGAACUCAGAACGCGUCGUCUCUGGAUGGUUAAAGAAAGCAGAUUAAAGCAAAAGAAGCUUCAAAAUCAGUUGAAAAUUCAGUCCAAGUCUCAUGAACUAGAGGUUAUUGAAACAUUGAACACCCAAUUCGCCUCGGUCUGGCUCUCAAUUUUUGUGUCUUCUACUAUGAAAUUUUGAACUCUCCAGACCGCGCUUGCAGCCUUGCAAAACAGGCUUUUGAUGAAGCAAUUGCAGAGCUAGAUACUUUAGGUGAGGAGUCUCACAAAGAUAGCACCUUGAUCAUGCAACUCCUUCGUGACAACCUCACUCCAUAGACCUCUGAUAUGCAGCAUAUUAUGACAUAAGCAAAGCAAGUUGGGGUUGGAGCUGGAUGGAGAGAUGGAUUGCGGUAUGCCCGUGGGAGACCCGAGUCAUUCCCCGACACAUCACCUCAACUCGGGCAGUGAAAAUGAAUAAACCAGCUAAAAAGAUAAAGCAUGCAAAAACAAACAUGUUUAUUAGCGACGCAUUGGUGCCACCAUUCAGAUGUGAGUGUGUGAGAAACCUGGUACCUGAUCAAGAAUUGUUAAAAAGGAUCCGUUCAGGUCAAGCCAGUCACUUUGACUAAGAAAAAAAGCAACCUAGAUGCAGUUUAUCCUUAUUCCUUAAUGACUGAGAAUGAGUUCCAGAUUCGUUUAAGUAGAAUCGAUGUGCAACAAAGCUGAUCACUCCUUUUGGUUUUCAGCAGAGCAGAGCAGUGCAGUGCAGGCUGCUUCUUCAACACUUGCGUUUUCUACGCAACUUUCUUAUCAAAUCCACCACCCUUAAUUGUGUUCUUCCAGUUCAGAACAUCAUUCAUUGGAUUUGAUGGGUGCCACGUCCGAGUUUGGGAAAGAGUCCUUGCUGGUAGAAGGGAAGUGUGGGCCCGUUUACCGAGCUGUACUGCCAGGUGAUAUCCACGUGGCAGUGAAGGUGUUGGAGAGUGCUAGAGGGAUGAGUCAUGAUGAGGAUGUUUGUAUGUUUGAAGAGCUUUCGAAGCUCAUUCAUCCAAAUUUGCUGUUUAUUGUGAACUUAGCUACUGCAAGAAUCAACGGCAUGGUUGAAAGACUAGAGUUAUCACAAGAAAUAAGAGAGAGGGUACACUCCCUUUUUCAACAGAUUCUGAGUCACCGAACAACGUUGUUGUUCAACCGCCUGACGGGUAGUCCACGGGACAACCCUUAAGUGUGUUAAAAGAUGAGUUAAUCCCUCAUUUGAUCAUGUAGUUGUCUUUAAUUAGAUAACUACGGUUGCUUGUGUUUCAGGUACAUUUGGAGCUUAAAAGUAUGGAAAUAAAGCUUCGAAUAGACGCGACUAGAUUGGAGAUUGAAAGAUGGAGAAUAAAUGAAAAAAGUAAAAUUUUGGAAUUGAAGAAAUAAGAAUAUAACAUGAUAGAGGACGAAAUUACGAG